ensembl:lncRNA
GGGAGAGUGGCUGGGGGGCAGGUUAGCCACAAAAGAUGCAGGAGAUGAGGAGGGGUGAUGGUGCUGCAGGAUGGCACACUGGGAGAACACAGUGUAUUCUGCAAAAGCAGAGGUGAUAAGAAUAAGGGUAAGUGCACAGAGCUGGCCAUGAUUGCAGAUGCAAAGCAGGAAAGAGCAGUGUGGUCUUGAGGUGUUUGUGCAUAAUUAGAACGAGGGAGAAUUGUUUUAAUUAGUAUGGGUGAUAAGUUGUGAGUAGAAAGUGGCGGUGAUAGGUGUAUGGAUAAUAGGAGAUGUGACACACAUAACCUUAACCUCAUCCAUCUUGUCUCUAUUCUGCAACAUGUUUCUAUAGGCAGUGCUUUCAGGCUGAAGUCAGGGAACGAAGGCUGCGUGCUGUGCUGAACUGUGAUGACUCCAUCCUUGGUCCCACUGAGGGACAGCAGGGAAUAAUGUUACCCAAGCGUUGGAUAGCACAUUUAACAAUGUGGAGGGCUUCGUUGCACCGGCUGUGUGGAAGGGAGCUCAGAAUCCAGGAACCACCAGUGCAGUUCAGUGGUUUUGUAGCUGGAGAUGAAACUGGAGUGGGAGUGAGGACACUGCAGAAGGAAACAUUCUGUAGAACUGCCAAAAUGUUCGACCUCAGCUUAGAAGGG